AUUUAAGUAAUUUAAAAAAAAAUUUUGAUUUGUGGUAUCAAGUAUGUAAAUAUUUACCUUAAAUU
rnacentral:tRNA from 1 species